UAUGAUCAGCCGCGGCAUCAAGCGCGAGUUAGAGAGCGAAUUAACCGGGGCUUCGGAAAACGGAAGAGAUUUUUUACAGUUCAUCCAUCGCUUAGCCAAGGAACGAACGCUCCAGAAGUGCAAAGUAUGGUGUGCCCAGCAUUGCGGCGGCGGCAUUGCCAUUGAUCCGCGCGGGAUUCUCGGUUUCGGAUUGCAGUGAGUGAACGUGUGUGUUUGUGCGCGCGAGUGUGUGAUCUCCUUUGGGGUGUCCCGUAUUGUAAUUGCUCUUCUCUGAAUCCAUUUUUUCCGACCCGAGAUAUGAUCAUCACUUUUGAGGGCGGCAUUUCUCUCGCUUUUGGUGUGGCAUAGAGAGCAGUUUUUUUUUCUGCUGGCAGGAAUAAAGUGUCGAUUACCAAAAAUAUACAAGUGACGUCGGUGGCGGUGGUGGCGUCUGAAAAUCGAUGGUGUUUCGGUCGGAAAUAGCAACCCGAGUGGAUGGAAGGGGGAAAGGCAUCCGGCAAAGGGGUCCGGUAUGAGUGUGGCUGAAGCAGCAGCAGUGGUAGUCCACCUCGAAGUAUUUCUCGAAGCUGUUUACGUGUGGUUAAUGAGUUGUUGUGGCAAUACAUGCCCUCUGUGGGCGAUAAGCGCCAGAAUAAGUGCAAUCAAUUGAUACAACAAGCAGUACGUGGUUAUUUUAUUCAAUUCCGACAAAACAAGGUCAUGAUGUUACCAUGCUUUCGGGUGUGAUAUUGGGAAGGCAGCGAAAAAGAAAGUGUGAAUGUGUCAACGUGAAUUACGGCUCAAGUGUUAGCUUGCACUUGGUUCAAGAUCAGCGUGGGCGGAUCGAGAGACGGCGUGGUGGAGGCAAAGCAAUGAAAACCUUGACGACCCUCAACACACUUGAAGAGGAGCUGUGAUGACGACAUUUGGCGGUGCUCGGCGCGUUCGAAUCAAGUGAGUGGUCGAAAGCUAGCAAAAUAGAAUAGGUUACAGAAUUGCUUCUCUAACCAGGAAGUUUGAGAAGAAUAUAGCAUCAGAGUGUAAUUACAUUCAAGGUGGGUGUUACACCAGAAGAAAUUGUCAUCACUCAGGUUAAGAAUAGUUCUACGACAUCUGUGGAACAACAUACCAACAACAUCACCAGCGGGAAGUAAUGCGAGGAUCGUUCUGAUGUGUGUAUGCAGUAUAAAAACUGAUCCGUAAUUGACGACGUUGUUGUUAUUGUUGGCGGGAGGAGCUAUUGAUUUGAAGUGUGAGCGGUUUUCAUUCGAUGGAUUAUCCAAAUGGCUUACAUUUCGACGCAACAGGGCGUUAUUUCGCAAGGAUUGAGUGCUGGCAGUCUUCUUCUGUCAGCUUCUUCGAGUCACGUGCUGUUAACUCAUCGACAGAUUCAAUGGACUCCACGGUGAUGAAACAACCGAAGGUUGAAAACCUGUUUAAUGAAGAUUUGAGAAAAAAGAUUUGAGGUGUUGCUAUACUGCAAUAUGUAAAGGAUACAGAGGCUAUAGGUACAAAGGGUCUUUAAGGUACAAAGAGUGACAAUACCACUGUCACGUAAAAAAAAUUACUAAAUGUCAAUACAACAAUGUCACAAGGUCAAAAGUAAUUGUAGAAUAGCAAUGAUCUGACUAACUCACUCCACCAUCUACGUCGCAUAUAUUUCAUUCAAACUGACUGGAUGUUAAAUAAUUUGAUAGAGCGAAUUAUUGCAAAUAAUUUCGCGUUGCAUACAAAAUUCACGAGAACUAAACCUGGAAGAAAAUUUGCAUAACACAGAAUUUACUCUCGCAUUCGCUCGAAAAACAUAAUUCCUUUAUUUGUUAAAUUGUUUGCUUGUUUCACUAUCUCUACUCUUGGUGUUUUGAGUUAAAAAUUCGUCAUCUGAUUGUGUAGAUUAUAACAUUUACCAAGAGAACGAUUUUGCGUAACCUGCAUUAAAUUUCGUCGGGUGAAUACUACCGCUUGAUAAUCAUUUUUCCGGACGAAUUGUUUAUACAUAUCAUUCAAUAAAAGUGGUUAACAAAUGCCAAAUUUGCGGUGAAGGGUGUGUCACAUCAAAUUGCAUCACAGAAAAAACGCUGUAGAAAUUCGCCCAGUAGAUCGAUCCUUUUGAA